rnacentral:tRNA from 1 species
GCGGACGUAGUUUAACGGUAAAACACCUUGGCUACCCACCCCGGCGUUGCGGGUUCGAAUCCCGUCGUCCGCU